rnacentral:rRNA from 1 species
AAAUUGAAGAGUUUGAUCAUGGCUCAGAUUGAACGCUGGCGGCAGGCCUAACACAUGCAAGUCGAACGGUAACAGGAAGCAGCUUGCUGCUUCGCUGACGAGUGGCGGACGGGUGAGUAAUGUCUGGGAAACUGCCUGAUGGAGGGGGAUAACUACUGGAAACGGUGGCUAAUACCGCAUAACGUCGCAAGACCAAAGAGGGGGACCUUUGGGCCUCUUGCCAUCAGAUGUGCCCAGAUGGGAUUAGCUUGUUGGUGAGGUAACGGCUCACCAAGGCGACGAUCCCUAGCUGGUCUGAGAGGAUGACCAGCCACACUGGAACUGAGACACGGUCCAGACUCCUACGGGAGGCAGCAGUGGGGAAUAUUGCACAAUGGGCGCAAGCCUGAUGCAGCCAUGCCGCGUGUAUGAAGAAGGCCUUCGGGUUGUAAAGUACUUUCAGCGGGGAGGAAGGUGUUGUGGUUAAUAACCGCAGCAAUUGACGUUACCCGCAGAAGAAGCACCGGCUAACUCCGUGCCAGCAGCCGCGGUAAUACGGAGGGUGCAAGCGUUAAUCGGAAUUACUGGGCGUAAAGCGCACGCAGGCGGUCUGUCAAGUCGGAUGUGAAAUCCCCGGGCUCAACCUGGGAACUGCAUUCGAAACUGGCAGGCUUGAGUCUUGUAGAGGGGGGUAGAAUUCCAGGUGUAGCGGUGAAAUGCGUAGAGAUCUGGAGGAAUACCGGUGGCGAAGGCGGCCCCCUGGACAAAGACUGACGCUCAGGUGCGAAAGCGUGGGGAGCAAACAGGAUUAGAUACCCUGGUAGUCCACGCCGUAAACGAUGUCUACUUGGAGGUUGUGCCCUUGAGGCGUGGCUUCCGGAGCUAACGCGUUAAGUAGACCGCCUGGGGAGUACGGCCGCAAGGUUAAAACUCAAAUGAAUUGACGGGGGCCCGCACAAGCGGUGGAGCAUGUGGUUUAAUUCGAUGCAACGCGAAGAACCUUACCUGGUCUUGACAUCCACAGAAGAAUCCAGAGAUGGAUUUGUGCCUUCGGGAACUGUGAGACAGGUGCUGCAUGGCUGUCGUCAGCUCGUGUUGUGAAAUGUUGGGUUAAGUCCCGCAACGAGCGCAACCCUUAUCCUUUGUUGCCAGCGGUUAGGCCGGGAACUCAAAGGAGACUGCCAGUGAUAAACUGGAGGAAGGUGGGGAUGACGUCAAGUCAUCAUGGCCCUUACGACCAGGGCUACACACGUGCUACAAUGGCGCAUACAAAGAGAAGCGACCUCGCGAGAGCAAGCGGACCUCAUAAAGUGCGUCGUAGUCCGGAUUGGAGUCUGCAACUCGACUCCAUGAAGUCGGAAUCGCUAGUAAUCGUGGAUCAGAAUGCCACGGUUGAAUACGUUCCCGGGCCUUGUACACACCGCCCGUCACACCAUGGGAGUGGGUUGCAAAAGAAGUAGGUAGCUUAACCUUCGGGAGGGCGCUUACCACUUUGUGAUUCAUGACUGGGGUGAAGUCGUAACAAGGUAACCGUAGGGGAACCUGCGGUUGGAUCACCUCCUUA